rfam:Streptomyces sp. PVA 94-07 chromosome, whole genome shotgun sequence.
AAGGUCCGGAGCUUGGACGCCCGCCCCGGCGGACGGCCCCGGCGGCUACGCUGACCGCGUGCGCCUUCGGCACCGGAGGCGCAAAGCCGACAGCCGUCGCACUCAGGGAGCAUUCUCAUG